AGAGUUUGAUCCUGGCUCAGAUUGAACGCUGGCGGAAUGCUUUACACAUGCAAGUCGAACGGCAGCAUAGGUGCUUGCACCUGAUGGCGAGUGGCGAACGGGUGAGUAAUACAUCGGAACGUGCCCAGUCGUGGGGGAUAACGUAGCGAAAGUUACGCUAAUACCGCAUACGAUCUACGGAUGAAAGCGGGGGACCGUAAGGCCUCGCGCGAUUGGAGCGGCCGAUGUUAGAUUAGGUAGUUGGUGGGGUAAAGGCUCACCAAGCCGACGAUCUAUAGCUGGUCUGAGAGGAUGAUCAGCCACACUGGGACUGAGACACGGCCCAGACUCCUACGGGAGGCAGCAGUGGGGAAUUUUGGACAAUGGGCGCAAGCCUGAUCCAGCCAUUCCGCGUGCAGGACGAAGGCCUUCGGGUUGUAAACUGCUUUUGUACAGAACGAAAAGCUCUGAGUUAAUACCUCGGGGUCAUGACGGUACUGUAAGAAUAAGCACCGGCUAACUACGUGACAGCAGCCGCGGUAAU
rnacentral:rRNA from 1 species